GAUGAAGAACGCAGCGAAAUGCGAUACGUAAUGUGAAUUGCAGAAUUCAGUGAAUCAUCGAAUCUUUGAACGCACCUUGCGCUCCUUGGUAUUCCUUGGAGCAUGCCUGUUUGAGUAUCAUGAGCAAAUCUCAAAGUCGAUCCUUUUGUUAAUUCAAUUGGUUUGCUUUGGACUUGGAGGCCUUGCAGAUUUCACCGUCUGCUCCUCUUAAAUGCAUUAGCUGGAUCUCAGUAUUAUGCUUGGUUCCACUCGGCGUGAUAAGUAUCACUCGCUGAGGACACUGUAAAAGGUGGCCAGGAAAAUACUGAUCGAACCGCUUCUAACGGUCUAUUAACUUAGACAAUUACCCUUAAGUUUGAUCUCAAAUCAGGUAGGACUACCCGCUGAACUUAAGCAUAUCAAUAAGCGGAGGA
rnacentral:misc_RNA from 1 species